AACAUUUCAAAAAGGAGAGUACAUAAUACAACAAACAAAAGCGUUGUUUUACAAAAUGAGAUAGAGAGAGAAAGCUUCAAAUCUAGAGAGAGAGGAAGAUGUUCUAUUGCAGCUUUACAAACUCCAGCUCUUGAUUCUUCUUCUCUUUGCCGUUUUGCUUCAGCCUCUUCUUGCCCAAAGUGUCUCCUCGAAUCUGUCUUUUUUUCUGUGCGAAAAAUUCCUAUUUGUACUCCCUUCUUCAUUCAGCCUUGACCUAGAUUCCCGAGCCAAGUAUUUUCCUUUUUCUGACGUGUUCUAGCUGCAGCGAGAUUGGAUUCUUGCUGCAGCAAGCUAGAAGUUGACUUGGCGUUGCAAUGCUCUUCAUUUUUGCUGCAGCGAGAUUGGAUUCUUGUUGCAGCGAAAAUCCUACUGCCUCUUUUUGCCCUGUUUCUCACUGCAGCGAAAAACUCUUUGCCUGGACAUUUUUGCUGCUGCAGCUUUGAGCUCUCUGCCACCAUGUUCUCCUCCUUCAAGUUGCCUCGUGCAGAGUUGUUGUGAUCCUCACAAUCAACUUCUCUUUCGGCUCCAUGAUUCCUUCAACAUCAAAAGGUUCAAUAGUUAGAGGUUGAUUUAAAAAAUUUUGAAAAGAAAUGAAGUUAAAAUGGUCUAAAUGACACUAGACACCCUAAGAGUUAACUUAUACUAAAAAACAUGAAAAUUUACUAAGGACUAAG
rnacentral:lncRNA from 1 species